GUUCACUGCUGGCAUAGGAGGCAUCAACAUUGCCUGGCUGCAAGGCUGCUUGUAUCCUCCUGGAGAGCCACUCCUGAACUGUGAGUUGACCAUAGCAGAUACCACCAUUGAGUCCAUCCCCCUCAACACCCUUAAAGGAGCUCCCUCACCAACCUUCCUAUCCCAGAAGAAGUCUGUUAUGCCAUCUAGGAAACCAAGAACUGGAUGGCAUACCUGCUGAAAUCUACAAGACUGGCAGUGAGAAAAUGGUACUGAGACUCUAUGAAUUUAUUCUAUGAUUUUGCAACAAUGAAGUGAUCCUGGGGGACGAGAGGAGUGCCAACAUUGUGACUAUCUUCAAGAAAGGAGGUCCAAGAAAAGUGUCAGGAACAACAUUAGGACCUGUAUAUGGCCUUCAUUGACCUCACUUAGGCCUUUGAUUCUGUCAAUUGUGAAGCCUUUUGGAAAGUAUUGGCUAAAACUUGGAUGUCCUGAAAAGUACAUUAAAGCCCUGAGACUUCUUCAUGA